rnacentral:rRNA from 1 species
CCUACGGGGGGCAGCAGUGAGGAAUAUUGGUCAAUGGCCGUAAGGCUGAACCAGCCAAGUCGCGUGAAGGAAGAAGGAUCUAUGGUUUGUAAACUUCUUUUAUAGGGGAAUAAAGGUAUCCACGUGUGGAUAUUUGCAUGUACCCUAUGAAUAAGCAUCGGCUAACUCCGUGCCAGCAGCCGCGGUAAUACGGAGGAUCCGAGCGUUAUCCGGAUUUAUUGGGUUUAAAGGGUGCGUAGGUUGGUUUUUAAGUCAGUGGUGAAAGUUUGUGGCUCAACCAUAAAAUUGCAGUUGAAACUGGCAGACUUGAGUAUGUUUGAGGUAGGCGGAAUGCGUGGUGUAGCGGUGAAAUGCAUAGAUAUCACGAAGAACUCCGAUUGCGAAGGCAGCUUACUAAGCCAUAACUGACACUGAAGCACGAAAGCGUGGGGAUCAAACAGGAUUAGAUACCCGGGUAGUC